GUCAACUUAAUGAGAUGUUCCACAUCAAAAAAAAAAAAAAAAAGUGUUGACAGGAGGUAGUUGCUAUUUUUGGUUAUCUAGCUGUAUGAGUGUUUAUCUUCCUUCAUAAAGCUAGAUAACCGAAAGUAGAAACGUCCUCCUUAACUGCAUAGUGGACAAGUUGGGAAGCAAUGAUCGCAGGGAACUGCAUGAGCCUCUCAAACUGCAGUGUCUUUGUGAGAGACCAGAGGACUGGAGCUAAGGGGGAAAACGCCAUCUGCAACUGCCAGCCAUUUACACUGCCUUUUUGGAGCAAGAGGGAGAGAGGAAAAAAUGGUGCAAUUGUCCAAAUGAAAGAAAAGAAAAAUAAUAGUCAACCCUCAUCCUUCUUCUACCAGCUCCCCUCCCUUCUUCGUCAACGGAAGCAUUUAGUGCCAUCUGUGCCCCCGGAGAAAAGAGGAAAAAAGGAAAGGAGUGAGACUCUACAUCCCAAGUGCCAAUGGGGACAAAGAGGCUGCCAGUUGCCACGGACCACCAGAUGCAGGAAGACUGCAAGUCUGAAUGAGGGGUGUGCUUUCAGGAAGCCAUCUUGAUGGAGAAACUGGCUGCUGCUCCCUAAAAUGGCUGUGUUGGCAUGAG
ensembl:lncRNA